CCUCUAGGAGGGAGAUAGGGUUUGGAACGCGAAGAGCACCGCACUUACGGCGGUGUCCGGAUCUUCCCCUCGGACCUUGAAAAUCCGGGCGAGGGCCACGAGGAACACCGCGCCGGCUCGUACCCAUAUCCGCAGCAGGUCUCCAAGGUGAAUAGCCUCUAGUCGAUAGAAUAAUGUAGGUAAGGGAAGUCGGCAAACCCGAUCUGUAACUUCGGGAUAAGGAUUGGCUCUGAGGAUCGUGGCGCGCCGGGCUUGGUCGGGAAGUGGAGCGGUGCCAACGUGCCGGGCCUGGGCGAGGUGAAGGGCGCUCGUCGCCUGGACCCUAGCUCGGUUCGUGCCUUGGCCACC
rnacentral:rRNA from 1 species